rnacentral:rRNA from 1 species
CCUACGGGUCGCACCAGUGGGGAAUAUUGCACAAUGGGCGCAAGCCUGAUGCAGCCAUGCCGCGUGUGUGAAGAAGGCCUUCGGGUUGUAAAGCACUUUCAGCGGGGAGGAAGGCGGUGAGGUUAAUAACCUCACCGAUUGACGUUACCCGCAGAAGAAGCACCGGCUAACUCCGUGCCAGCAGCCGCGGUAAUACGGAGGGUGCAAGCGUUAAUCGGAAUUACUGGGCGUAAAGCGCACGCAGGCGGUCUGUCAAGUCGGAUGUGAAAUCCCCGGGCUCAACCUGGGAACUGCAUUCGAAACUGGCAGGCUAGAGUCUUGUAGAGGGGGGUAGAAUUCCAGGUGUAGCGGUGAAAUGCGUAGAGAUCUGGAGGAAUACCGGUGGCGAAGGCGGCCCCCUGGACAAAGACUG